rnacentral:lncRNA from 1 species
AAUGGUUGAGUUAUUAUGAAGAUAUCUUGAAAUGAACAUUGAUGAUCCAAGCUUGUCUCAUUCAUUGCUCUUUGCCUAGCUCGAAUUAUUGAAAAUCAAUGCUUGAAUGUUGUUGUAUGAUGAUUGAUGAACACAUUGGUAUGGCCAAUUUUAAAUUCUGGAGAAAAUUGUGAAAGCUCAAAUUAGGGAUGAAGCACUGUUCAUUCAAACCCUAGGGAGAUUUUGCCCAGAAAUUUUGAACCUCCAUGCCUUGUUACUGUACCCGC